AGUGAACGCUGGCGGUAGGCCUAACACAUGCAAGUCGAACGGCAGCACAGGAGAGCUUGCUCUCUGGGUGGCGAGUGGCGGACGGGUGAGGAAUACAUCGGAAUCUACCUUUUCGUGGGGGAUAACGUAGGGAAACUUACGCUAAUACCGCAUACGACCUACGGGUGAAAGUGGGGGACCGCAAGGCCUCACGCGAUUAGAUGAGCCGAUGUCCGAUUAGCUAGUUGGCGGGGUAAUGGCCCACCAAGGCGACGAUCGGUAGCUGGUCUGAGAGGAUGAUCAGCCACACUGGAACUGAGACAUGGUCCAGACUCCUACGGGAGUCAGCAGUGGGGAAUAUUGGACAAUGGGCGCAAGCCUGAUCCAGCCAUACCGCGUGGGUGAAGAAGGCCUUCGGGUUGUAAAGCCCUUUUGUUGGGAAAGAAAUCCUGUCGAUUAAUACUCGGUGGGGAUGACGGUACCCAAAGAAUAAGCACCGGCUAACUUCGUGCCAGCCGCCGCGGUAA
rnacentral:rRNA from 1 species